AGCAGCCGCGGUAAUUCCAGCUCCAAUAGCGUAUAUUAAAGUUGUUGCAGUUAAAAAGCUCGUAGUUGAAUUUCGGGAUCAAUUUGCUGGUCGUGCCUUCGGUACGCACUGGUAUUAUUGGUUUCUCCUUUCUGAUGAAUCGCGAUGUCAUUAAUUUGGUGUCGUGGGGAAUCAGGACCGUUACUUUGAAAAAUUAGAGUGUUUAAAGCAGGCUCACGCUUGAAUACAUUAGCAUGGAAUAAUGAAAUAGGACGUUUGGUUCUAUUUUGUUGGUUUCUAGGAUCGACGUAAUGAUUAAUAGGGAUAGUUGGGGGCAUUAGUAUUCAAUUGUCAGAGGUGAAAUUCUUGGAUUUAUUGAAGACUAACUACUGCGAAAGCAUUUGCCAAGGAUGUUUUCAUUAAUCAAGAACGAAAGUUAGGGGAUCGAAGACGAUCAGAUACCGUCGUAGU
rnacentral:rRNA from 1 species